AACGUAGGAGGCGAGCGUUAUCCGGAGUGACUGGGCGUAAAGCGCGUGUAGGCGGUCAGGCAAGCUGGGUGUGAAAGCGCCAGGCUCAACCUGGCGAGGCCAUCCAGGAAUGCGUGGCUGGAGGCCGGUAGAGGAGUGCGGAAUUCCGGGUGUAGCGGUGAAAUGUGUAGAGAUCCGGAGGAACACCAGUGGUGCAGACGGCGCUCUGGGCCGGACCUGACGCUGAGACGCGGAAGCGCGGGGAGCGAACGGG
rnacentral:rRNA from 1 species